GAUGAACGCUGGCGGCGUGCCUAAUACAUGCAAGUCGAGCGAACAGACGAGGAGCUUGCUCCUUUGACGUUAGCCGCGGACGGGAGAGUAACACGUGGAUAACCUACCUAUAAGACUGGGAUAACUUCGGGAAACCGGAGCUAAUCCCGGAUAAUCUAUUGAACCGCAUGGUUCAAUAGUGAAAGACGGUUUUGCUGUCACUUAUAGAUGGAUCCGCGCCGCAUUAGCUAGUUGGUAAGGUAACGGCUUACCAAGGCAACGAUGCGUAGCCGACCUGAGAGGGUGAUCGGCCACACUAGAGCUGGGACACGGUCCAUACUCCUACGGGAGGCAGCAGUAGGGAAUCUUCCGCAAUGGGCGAAAGCCUGACGGAGCAACGCCGCGUGAGUGAUGAAGGUCUUCGGAUCGUAAAACUCUGUUAUUAGGGAAGAACAAAUGUGUAAGUAACUAUGCACGUCUUGACGGUACCUAAUCAGAAAGCCACGGCUAACUACGUG
rnacentral:rRNA from 1 species